ACUAACCGGACGGCCCAGAAAUAAAUCGCGCCUUCGCAACAGCAGGUCAGGGAGGGCACGGCGCGAUACACGGGCGCGAGUCUCGGUGGUUGUGGUGAUCGUGGAUGGCUCGCGCAAGAAAGAAGGCGGGUGGUGGGCCGGGAGAGACGAACCCCCGUGGCGACGCCGCAAGCGCCAUAGGUUCCCUUUACCAGUGCGGCGGCGGGAAAGUAGGCAUGCAGAUGAGUGGGCGAAAGCAAUCGCCGCCAUCGACGCCGCCGAUGCCGCAGAAUGGUCCUGGGAGGUUGUUCACUCUGCCGACGGUUCUCACCAUCGGCCGGGUCGCCGCCAUCCCCCUUUUCGUGAGCACUUUUUACAUGGAUGGUUGGUGGGGAGCAACUGCUACAACAAGCAUCUUUCUUCUCGCUGCAAUUACAGAUUGGCUAGAUGGUUAUAUUGCAAGAAAGAUGCGGCUUGAAACAGCAUUUGGUGCAUUUUUGGAUCCUGUCGCUGACAAGCUUAUGGUUGCUGCCACAUUGGUAUUGUUGUGCACUAAACCUUUUGAAUGUGCUAUAUUUGGGGAUGUUCCAUGGCUUUUGACGGCACCUUCAAUCACCAUCAUUGGUAGAGAGAUAACUAUGUCGGCAGUCAGAGAGUGGGCUGCAUCUCAGAAUAGUCUUGCUCUUGAGCAGGCUGUAGCAGUAAACAAAUUGGGGAAAUGGAAAGCAGCAACACAAAUGACUGCGCUAACUGCCCUUCUUGCUAGCAGAGAUCCCAGCAUGGCAGUGCCGAGUGUUUUAGCUUCUGGCAUAGGUCUGCUCUAUGUUUCAGCUGGCCUUGCCGUAUGGUCACUAGUCGUGUACACGAGGAAGAUAUGGACAGUGUCGCUCAAGUAGAUAGUUAGAGGCUAAAUCUGCCACGAGCAUACAAAUAACAAUGUAGAUGAUGCACCGGCACUAUUCAUCCGUAGCUGUUUCAAAGCCGCUGCUACAGAUGGGAUAUAUGCAGAGAAGCAAGCUGAUUCAUCGCCAUUGAUAGAUAAGAACAUGUAUUAACAGAAACUGUGCAAGUAAGAUGGGCAUCGUUGGGUUGGCGGCCGGCCAAAUGGACAAAAUUCGCUUUAAGAUCACAGCUUAUUGACGACAGUAGGCAUAUUUUGGCGCGGGGGUUGAUCUUUUCUUAUUUUAAAUGCCUAAACAUGAGUUGCAGUUCAAAAACCAUCAUCAAUUUCGAGACGUUGGCUGCCGAGGAUCCUUCUCGGAGACGCCGUCGAUCGACACCGCCGAGUCAUCGGCCGAGCAUGUAACGGAACCGCCGAAUGAAGAGGCAUUCAAGACGACACAUUCUUUUCUUCGUCCGCUCGAAUGUCGUCGGCUCCUUUUCCCUUCUCCUCCACCGGAGCGGUGUCGCCUUCGCUUCUCAAGUGGUACGUCUUCCUAAAUCCUUCUCACGAUCCGCGCUAUGGCUGCAUCCAAGAACAAGCGCCCGCGACGUUGGUUCUGAGGCGAUCCGACCUCCACUUCCAUCCAAGCCCCUCAACGACCGCCUCUCAUUCAGUUCUACUUCGUCCGCCUCCCAAGCCCUCCGUCUCGUUCUGGCUCCCCAAACUGCCCCCACCCCCUAAAACCCUCCGCCUCCUCGACUGGGACUUCGUUCCGUUCAACGACGCCCUUGAAGCCAGGAGAUCGAUCAGUUCGUGCACCACGAUAGCUGCCCUGGCCUCAACCGGUAGCACGAACUGAUUGAUCUCCUGGCAUCAAGGCCGUCGUUCAACGGGGUGAAGGGUUCACGUCAGGAGGGUGUGGUUCGCCAGCGGUGGUGUUCGUGGAAGGGUUCACGCCGCAGCAGAACGAUGGGCAUGAUUGCGAGUGGUGGUCUGCGAUUGGUGUGUCGAUUAGGGCGGGCGCAUGGACGGGAAGAACAGAUGGUUUGCCGCCGUGAAGGAGGAGGCCGAUGCCGAUGCCGAUGCGGUGGAUAAAGCUGAGAGGCGAAAUCUGGAGGCUUAUGCCAAGUUUGAUGGAGCGCAAGUGACGGUGAUUGUACUGGAUUGUCAUGCCGGGCAAGCAACCGGUGCAAGAUGAGAACAAGGAGAAGGAUGACCAGCACCAGCACCAGCACCAGCACCAAAAUUAUCAACACCCAGCACACCUGUUGAAAAGAAGUGCAGACAUCAUCCUGAUUGCAGUGAUAGAAUCUCUUGGAGCCAAGUACUAUUUCUUUCAUACAAUAAAUACACUGAGGAGCUUCAGGCAUGAAGAGAGAGAAAAUGAAUGGAUUUGGCUCUCUCUCUCUCUCUCCUGUAAGAUAUGAGUUCCAUGGCUCAGCAUAUACCCAUGGGAUCUUAAAGAGCGUACGUACCAUCAUCUUGGUGUAAACCAAAUUGAAGGUUUUAUUUGGGCCAAUCUCUGUUUUGUGUACUCCAGAAAUGCUUACCUCGUCUGUUCCCAGAGCAGCAACCUGUCGUCGUCAUCACCUGCAUCCUCUCCCGCAGCAGUCUCUUCGCCGGGCGAGCUGCCAAAAUCCACUACGUUAUGUGCAAUCAAGCGACUCAAAAGAAGUGAUCGGUUGAAGAGGGAGUCAGGGAGACCUCGUCAGCGGCCAAGGCCGAGAAGGGGAGGCGUUGCGGGCAUCUUCCCGCUUCAUAGCGAGCUUUUGGGCCUUUUGGAGAUCUAGCAGCGCGGCUACGAAGGCCCCGCGAGCUUCGACUUCUACCUUUCAAACUCGUCGAUCGACCUGCCAUUAAAGGAAGACGAUCUUAAAGAACAGAGAGAAAGAAUGGAGAACGGAGACUGUGCGUACAUAUUCGCGGCUGGCAUCGAGAGCUUGAAGCGCUGCGGAGGUGUUCCUCACCGAUGGGCCGAUCGUCUUCCUUGAUACUUGCCGGGAACAGAGGAUGCUUCAGACCCGAGGGAAUACAUGAAACCCAACACGGAAGAGAGAGAGAGAGGUACAGGACCUGCCGAUCAUUGACGAGACGCCGAAAUCGAAGAGUCGAUAGCAAGUGGAGGUUACCACGUUCAUGAGCUCUUCUAUGUCGACAG